AGUUGCAAUGCGUACAGUUUGCCCUCAAUUCCGGGCUCGUCGAAUCCGUGUGUGUCUCUGAGGUCGGAGAGCUCGAUGGUAUGACAUUUUCCCGGUCGCAUGGUCCGUCAUGCUCAGCUGAUCGAGAUGAAUGUACAGUUCGCGGUACGGAACUAGUUCGGGUAAUUUCAUACCGGUCAUGGUGGUUUUCGGUUGUAUUACGUUGAACGUAAACCCGAGUGUUUUAGUCAACGGCUGGCUGAGUCUCAAAGUGUUUUCUCUGUUGUUGAUCAGCACAACCGUGCCGUUUGAGACGUUCAUUUUGAGUUCGGCUCCCACGGGUUUGAAUAUUU